UGGGGAAUAUUGCACAAUGGGCGCAAGCCUGAUGCAGCCAUGCCGCGUGUGUGAAGAAGGCCUUCGGGUUGUAAAGCACUUUCAGCGAGGAGGAAGGUGGUGAGCUUAAUACGCUCAUCAAUUGACGUUACUCGCAGAAGAAGCACCGGCUAACUCCGUGCCAGCAGCCGCGGUAAUACGGAGGGUGCAAGCGUUAAUCGGAAUUACUGGGCGUAAAGCGCACGCAGGCGGUUUGUUAAGUCAGAUGUGAAAUCCCCGGGCUCAACCUGGGAACUGCAUUUGAAACUGGCAAGCUAGAGUCUCGUAGAGGGGGGUAGAAUUCCAGGUGUAGCGGUGAAAUGCGUAGAGAUCUGGAGGAAUACCGGUGGCGAAGGCGGCCCCCUGGACGAAGACUGACGCUCAGGUGCGAAAGCGUGGGGCAGCAAACAGGAUUAGAUACCCUGGUAGUCCACGCUGUAAACGAUGUCGAUUUUGGAGGUUGUGCCCCUUGAGGCGUGGCUUCCGGAGCUAACGCGUUAAA
rnacentral:rRNA from 1 species